rnacentral:miRNA from 1 species
CAGGUCCCUGCCGGGCGGAG